UACGGAGGAGGCAAGCGUUAUCCGGAAUUAUUGGGCGUAAAGCGUCCGCAGGUGGCGAUUUAAGUCUGCGGUCAAAGCCUGGGGCUUAACCCUGGAAAGGCCGUGGAAACUGAAAAGCUAGAGUGCAGUAGGGGUAGAGGGAAUUCCCGGUGUAGCGGUGAAAUGCGUAGAGCUCGGGAAGAACACCAGUGGCGAAGGCGGAACUCUGGGCCGGAACUGACGCUGAGGAGCGAAAGCGUGGGGAGCGAACAGG
rnacentral:rRNA from 1 species